UUUUUUUUUUUUUUUUUUUGGGUCUAGUAUAGGCAGAAUUUGUGGUUUAAUGUAAUGCGUUUGUGUUUGAUUAGGAUAUAUCAGUUGGGAAAUCGAUUCAGUUCAAGUUCAUACUACAAGAAAGCACAGGGAAUAUCUCAUGGCAGCCUGGCCCUGAUCGGAUUUUCCAGACCUGGGAAACUAUGAACAGGAUCACUGUUUCCGAAGAUUGGGCAGAUGCUGAGCUUCAGAAAAUAAUAGAGGAAGAUCAGGUUUCAAAUCAAAGCGAUGGUUCAAAUGUUAACGCAGAUAUGUUGAAUAUGGAUGAGAACCUGACACAGCCGAAUGGUGAACUGGCCUUCAAUACAACCAAUGAACCGAAAAUCACCAAUAGUAACACUGAUUCGGCAGAGAAACCAUCAGUAGAACCAAGGAAGGAACAAAUUGGUGCUGAUAAUGGUUCUCCUUCACAAGAGAAUGUGAACCCUAAAUGGCCAAAGGCAUAUGUGGAAUCAUACAAGGAACGAGUUGCCACAAGAACUGCAGUGCUUAAUGAAGAGAGAGUUAUUUUUCCAAGCGAGGAUUCUACAGCCAUCUCAAGUAAGGAGUUGUUGGUGGCAGACAACAUCUGCGGAAAUAAUGGUAGAGCUGCAACAGUAAUGAACCUUUCAAGCACUCACGUCGAGGGAAGCCUAGUUAACCACGAAGAAGGUCCUGUUCUGGUACCUGGGCUGACUCCUUCACCAGCUGUUCCAAAUGAAGAAGUGAACAAAGAGGGAAUCGAGAAACAGAUGUCUUUUGAUGGCUCGGUUGGAGCAUUUGAAGCUAAGGAUCGUAAUAUGCCAGAGGUAACUGCUUGAUGAGAGUGAAGUAUCUUUUAUCUUUUGCUGUAUCUUCUUGUACUGCAUUUACCUCAGCCUGAAAUAACAUCCAUUCCAUUUCCAUAAGACCGCGAGUUGUCCAGGGCUAUAGGAGAGAUUCUAUACUACUAGGUAGUUUUUGGUUUCAUCUUGUAUGUUGUUGGAAUCUAUGUUUUCCAUGAAGAGAAGUUCAAGUUGAUGAUGUAUCGCAAGGCAAUUAUUUAAUUUCAUCAAAAUUGAGCAAUCAUCUAUAAAUUCGCAUGAAGAAACUGUUCGUGUAUUUUCGUUACAAUCAUUAACCAACAAAGUUGACCAUCUUCGAUUCUUUGCACAAUAUCAUUGCAGUGUAAUAAACGUUGUAUGCUACAAUACAAAUCCAUAGCCAUGUAUUCUCCUAUUGCAAAUUGAAACUGCGCUGUCUGAUUCAAACUGAAACUAUUAACACUCGCAAUGUGACAAGGAAUUCUCUAUCAAGCAUUUCGUUUGUAUCUUUUAUUUAUGCUGCUAAUUCAUCAGCAUUUAGAGGAACCCUAUUCCUGAAAAAUGUGAGAGUUCAUGAUGAAUGAUUUUUCUUUGCUAUGCAUAAGGCGAUGCAUUGUUGUCGAACAUCAGUAUUUGAUUUAGAUGUUCUUGGCCCUUGAUAAUGCUGUUAUUGAUGUCCUCUUUUCUGCUAUCUUUUCAUGUACUCAAACCAAUGGAUUCAGUUAGACGAGAAGCGAGAACCAUACAGUGACCUACCUGAAGCAGAAACAAGUGUAAUGACCAACGGCGAUCAGGAGAAUUUUGACGAUGAACAAUUCCACUCAGAGCCCGUCAAUGAUAGUGUCCUGUGCAACGGCCAACCUCAAGUGGAAACAGCUUCCGCGAUCAGUGAGAGAGAGAAUUCUGCUAAGGGGGGAGGACAGUCCAACUCAGAGCCAAUCAACGAGGUCUUGCACAAUGAUAUGCAAUGGGGUCGUAGAAUGCUGCAAAACCUUCUGUCUGACUUCAGAUUGUUUUGGUAUUGACUUUUCCGGAAACCUGGGUAGAGAAUUUCCGGCAUUCACGUCAGCCUGCUGUUACUCUUCCGGCUUUGUUGCUGAAGUUUUGUGGUAGCCUGCAAAGAGGAGAGAGAGGCAAUCUUAUAAACAACGGUUAUAUGUAGAUAUGAUGCAAGAGUGCUCAGGCUUUUGUAUUCUUUUAGUUUGUCAUAUAACUGUGGCAUGAUGUGUGAGAGGAAAAUUUGUACCAAAUACCAAGUUUUGUAAGGAUUUGGUUGCUUUUUUCUAGUACUGUCAUAAAAUGCAGUUGGUCGAAGUGGAAAGCACCUGACUCCGUCUUUCGGAUGUAAAAUAAACGCCUUCUUUUUGUGUUUUUGAUGAGUUAUGUUUUCAUGUGUCGAACUAUUAUAUGAAGAAUGCGAAGGAGCCAAGCAGCGUGCGUGGCUGAAAUUUCUGUUGUGCAUAGCCCUUCGGGUUAGAACAUAAUUAGGAAACCAGUUAGCGAUGAAUUGUGUCAAAUCUCGGGAGAGUUUUGGAUUCCCUCCAUUGUGACCGAAACGGAAAUUAUGCUGUGCAGGAAAAAUGCAGCUUGAAAUUCUGAGUCCAAGAAGUAUCAAAGAAGUUGCUUGCCGAUGCUACCAGCUAACAGGUAGCUGGAGAACAAACUGUACUGACUGAGAUCCAUAUUAGUUAUCAACAAGCACAUUGCGUAUGGAAUUGGGUGCUCUUCACAAUUUCAGGUGCAGGAGUAAAUGCUCUUAACCGACCGAAUUAGAAGCCCUUGCGAGGUCAGUCUAUCCCUAAAUGCUAGUACGUUGACUAUUGAGAUUUACAGCAAGAUUUAAUUAUCCGAGAUUCCGAAGCAAAAUUUAAAUCUUGUUUUAAUUUACAGCAUUUGAUUCCUCCCAUAGAUCCUGAAGCAAGAACAUAUAGUGGACAUCAAAAUUUAUCAUUUCCAACACCAUAUUUUCUGGAGAAAUGAUUUCCGCACCCUUCUUCCCACUACUGUUUAUUUUUAGCAAUCAAAGGAUAAUCGAAUGAAUCACAUUAACAUGAGUAUGCAAAAAUCAGUCUAGUCUAUCUGUAUCGUAUCGAAUUCAUAUGACUAGGGUACGAAGAUGUGAAAAAGAUUUGAAAAGGAACCAACACAAUGUAAUUACUUAUGGACUUUGACGGGAUAAUACAAUUCCUUCGUUUUGAGAACAAGAUGGUCUUAAAUUUCAGGUUCCAUGCUGCAAUCUUAUGAUCAGUAAAAUCUACGUAAAAAUUUUCAAGGGGAAAAAUGUGAACUAUAUUCAGAGAUGCAAUCCCCAACCUCAAUAUGUAAGCAGGAAAAGAUGGGGCAAGAUGAAAAAAGAAACACAAAGAAUUUGCCCAGCUUUCCACCAACAAAAUAUACACAUACCCGCGUUGGCAAUAUUGAAACUGGCUCUCCGAAAGGGGUAAAUAUAUUCCGAAUUGUACAAGAUGCCGAAGUCGUGUGCCUCCAAAAGCCAGUCUUUCUACUUUUACCUCCUUGUUCCUUUAGUUUUCACAAAGCAUUGGAGGUUGGGGAGAGAUGCAGCCACCUGGACCUCGCCAAGACCAUUGUUUCAUUUGUCGAGUGCAAGAGGAAGAAUGCGCUAGCAGGAGCCAAGAUUGAAAUGACUCGUUUCAAUGUUUGUCUGCAACCCCAUUCUCUGCUGCCGUGAAAAUGAUAAACUUCGUGAACCAUGCAAUAUGUCUUCCUUGGGUCGUUUUGCAACCGACUCUAUCAAUCUGCAAAAAGAUAAUAACUAAAUUGAAAAAUUUAGGAAACACCGACAUUCAUGAAAUAGUAAACAUUGAACUCAAAAAUCUUUUGGAGCCUUUUAUUGUAUAUCCCAGGCAGUGUCUGACCAUAAUCUUGAACUACUUGUCAAUCUUACAGAUAUACAUUUGCGCAUAGGCUAGGAGUUCGUUCUAUUUGACCUCUGGCCUAGCAACACCAAGCGAAAAAAUAAAAAAAUAAAAACUCAAAAAAUGCCUAAAUGAACCAUAAAGACAUCUAAUAUCCAAGCAGAAACACAAAAGAAGCCAUAAAUCAACAUAAAGUAUGACUUGGCCAUAUUAUAUCCAACCAAGAACCCUUCAGGCUUCCAGAAUUGCCCAGCAAAUAACAAAGAUUUGGUUUCAGAAAUGUCUCAGCUCAAACAGGGUGAAAAUAAGUGUUGUGUUACCUUGGGGAACUGGCACGCUUUAGAACUUGCUGACUCACCGUAAAAGUACUUCCAGGUUCAACUUCAGCAGCCUGUAUAUUUGGCAUUGAACACACAGGCAUUAAUCAGGAAAUUCAACGCAAAAGUCAAAAAUAUUACACACUAGAUGGAGGUCUCCUGUUUCCAGUUAAAGGAAGAUAGUAAUUUUGGGUUCAGAAGCUUCCCUCUCACAGGAGAUAAAUGGAAAUGGUUUCACCACAUGCACAAGUUAGAUCCAGCACAAAUAUUGGGAAGAAAAAUGAAAUCUGUGAGAAGUUUAAAACAAGUCUAUGAGAAGUUUAAAAUUCAAGUAGAAGCCAUACAGUGGGGUGGUAAUGGUGAUGAGGAUAUCUAAAAACAUAUCGACUGAGGUACGAAUAAUUGCUAUUCAUUCAAACCAAAAAGAGAAAAGAACAGAGGUAAAUCAAGCACAUGGGAAUACUUGGAUAACGGGUAGAAAUGAGGGACUGACAACCAAGCCCGUACCUUUCAAAACAGGAAUUAAUGGAGCCAAUAAAGCAGCAGUAGCAAACAUUGAGGCCAGCUCAUUCCGCUUACAGUGUUUUAGCCAUCACAUCUUCGUGAGAUGCAAAAUUCAAAAUAGGAGUGGUUCUCCUUUCAGUGUCUUGCCCACAUACCCUUUAUCCAAGCAUCACCUAUGUUUUUGAACAUAGAAAAUCAAAUCAACUAAUGAAAGCAUCAGCAAUUAUCCCCACCUCUGAAGUUCUUUCUUUAGGCGAUCCAUCCCUUAGCAGCUCAGCCGAUCCUGGACCAACCAUGUCCAAUAGAAAUCCGUUUUCAUUUCCUUUAUUUAAAUCUCUGUCCACGGCACCAGAACGAGGUGCAAGAUAUGCUACAUAUUUAUCUGCCAUCCGACACACAAAAUACAUUCAGCACAUACAAACAAAAAUACCACAGAAAACUGCAAGGAAAAAAACGUGGUUAACUAAUAAAGUUACCAGCCAAGCUGUGAAGGGCAUUCUCAGCAGCCUGUUGUUGAGCAUCCUUCCUCGUCCUACCCAUUCCAAAACCUAUCUUCUCUCCAGUGAAAAGAACCUUUAAAAACGAAGUUAACAAUGAGCACGUUAGAGUCCAAAAUUGAUACAAGAUAGCUCCUCAAAACAAAAUAAAGUACAAAUGCAAAAUGUAUAAACAAACAAAUUAAGAAAGGAGCUUUAAAUUUUUUUCCAAAAUUGCUCUUAAAAAAAGACAUUUUCUCCUGGCCGGGUUUCAUUGAUUUGUUCUGCUAAAGAAAGAUUAAUGACAAAUCAGGGUCAGCUUAUAUUUAGAAAACAGCACUCCUUAAGACAACAUUUCAAAUAAAACAUCUAUUGGGUAUAAUUAAGUCAUUUCACAACAACUUCAUACAUAUAAGGCAUAUAAUUUACACAGAACAACAGCUGUGAUGUCAAUAAGCAAUUAAACUACCAAAGUACAAAGGGAAAGAAAGGAAGUUCACUGACCUCAACAGAAAACUGCAAGUCAUUGCUGGUGCUUAAAACAGACCUGAACUCAAUCUGAGCAACGGGCAUAUCAUGGAUAACUCCAUUAGGAAAAAUUAAAAAGAUAAGAAAGAAAGGAGGGCAUGGGGCGCCACAACGGGGGCAUAAAACUAAAGCUAUUCAUACCUUUGAACUGCACCUCCGUCCAAUUUCCUGCAGCACUCCAAUAGAUAAAGGGGAUGGUACCAGGUUUACUUUACCAGAUUCUGUUUGAGAUUCUAUAUUCAAAGAAGAUGCCUGAAUCUGGGAUACACCAGCCUCUGCACCGAAAAACCAAAUCACUCCUCAAAAACACCAUAUACUAUUAAUUCUAAUAGAAAAUUAUAACUUAUCUCGUGAAUUUUUUAUCAAAAACCGUACAAAGACAAAACGAUAAUCCCAUUCCUAUCCUUCCAAGUUGUGGGGUUAACAGGCUACAAGUUAAUAAAAUUAAAACGAAGGAGAUAAAGAUAAAGAUAAAGAUAAAGACAAGGGGAAAGGCUCAUUAGGCACAAAGCAGAAUGAUGUUAAACUAUACUAAGUUGGAAAGACUAUUGGACUAUUGGAAAAGACUGAUGGGAAGACUAUUGGACUCUCCAGUUCUUUUUAAUAUUAAAAAAAAUAUUCCUCAUUUAAACUUAAAAAGUAGAAUGAUGUUAGGCAGCAAGUAUUUUAUAAAAGAAACCUUUCAAACUACUUGAGAGGAUAAGGACAAAUCAAAAGGGAACUUAAAAAUCAAGGUUAAAGGUAAUUUGAAAAUUAAUGGAUAAUAAGUAAAAUAUCUAUUUUUAAGAUUUUCUGAGCUCCAAGGAACAUCAAUGUCUCCCUUGUAUGUUUAAGAUUUUUCAUGAAAUGACCAAAAUGAUUUCCAGACAAAUUCAGGGACCACUUCUAUCGAUUUUCGUUGUCAGCGACCAAAGUGAGGAGUUAUGCCAAUCUUAGGAACCAUUUUGGGUAAAAAUCCUAAAUUAGAUUACCUGAUGGCUGACUUGGCACAGGAAGAUUUUGCAAAUCACACCCAGAUGAUAUCUGCAAAUAGAGAAAGUUUUGGCCACUGAGAUGUUUCUGGAGUUCUUAUAGUAACACCUUAAUUCAAAUUGUCAAAACAAGUCUCUUAAAGAAAUUUUAACAAAUUCUGACCAUACCUCUUCCCUCUUUAAAUCUGAUUUGUGUGAGAGCAAACCAGUGGGUGUCGAACCUGGUUUAGCAGGACUGAAAGGAUUCUGGUAAACUGACUUUUCAGGUUUUGAAACAUCAGGCUGCUGAACAAGCCCAGAAGGGCGAUUACUCGGAUGUCCUCUAUUGUUGUCGUCAUCAUCAACCAACCAUCCUCCUUGUGCAUUUAUUGAGGAUGCUGGCAGUUGUACAGGCACUCUAGAUAGAAGAGGGGGCUCAGCAGAGCUUUGACUCCUUAUAUCUAGAUUAGGAGUUGUACCAAGGAGUCCUCUCCUCAUUUCAUGGUCACGAUCAGAAAAGCUAUCUCGUCUAACAGGAAGUCCAAGCAGACCAGGUUUCUGAGAAGGCAUGACCGGCCUCAAAGAUGUACCGGCAGCAUUGGGAAGAAUUGCAGUCGGUGCUUGAGAGUUGUCACACCUUGACUCGGCAUUUUUCACAGAUUGAACCACUGACUCCACGCUACCCUUAUCAUCAGAUGGGUUCAAUCUUCGUUCCACUUCGCUACCAUUCAUUCCUUCACUAAUGGGAGCAUUAGCAUUUCCAUUUGGUGCAAAACCGGUAUCCUCGAACAUCAAGUAAUUGCUCACAUCAGGAGCAGGAGGCAAAUUUACCACCUCAUCUUCAUAAAAAACUCCAGAAAUUCUUCGCAACAAAAUUUCAUCAAACUCUUUGAAAAAACAACCUCUGACAUUGCAUGCAACAUUUCUUGCUACACAGAGGACUGGAACUGCACUAGCUGUCUCUGCUUGAGGAGCAUAAUAAGGGGUGAAUGCUGGAACAACAUGGACUCGAGGUUGAUCCUUAUCUUCCCAGACCUUGGAACGGUCAUCAAUAACCAUUGCCAUCUUUGGAUGGCACACUCCUUGUUGGAAGACAUUGAGUAAAGAUUUCCUGGAGCCUGAUUUAACACAAACAACACGGUCCAGAAGCUGCUUUGAGUCUAUUAAGUGUGACCCUGGGUCAAGAAGCCUCCACAUUUCUAAGGCAUAAUCUCUUUCAGCCAUAGUACAGACGUAAACUUCAAACCUCUUGCGUCCUUUUGCAGUUAAAUAACUUCUCAAAUCUUCCCAUGCAGGUCGUAACCGCACAAGCACACUGGUAUCGCGAUUCUGCAUUAAAAACAACAUUGUAUUGUAGUCCUUUGCACAUUUGUAUGAGAAUAUGUAGCUACUAUAAUGAGAUUAACUACAUAUCACUCAUUCUACUUUUUUGUAAGAGGACAGAUGUUUUACUAUAUAAGUUCUGACAGCUUCCUGACUAAUCAAACCGCCACAUGAAUUUUGGAAAAUUUAAGAGGUAAAUAUCGCACAGAACGGGUGCAUGUAUCAAUGGAUAAAAAAGUUAACAUCCAUACGUUGAUCAAAAAAGCAAUGCAGGUGUUUGGAAAACCUACAAAGGUCUAGCUAAAUGAAAAAAAAUUUAAAACUGAAUUGCAAACAAGAUUCGCCUACGCUCUUAGCAUGCAGCCAAAUAUUUUGUCUGCCUAAGGGACACACUACGUAGUUUUCAUAACUUUUGCAUUAGGAUGGUGUUGUUCUCAAGUCCUAGGAAUGAGAGAUAUUGCAACGUAUUGUCUCAAUCCGCUCAUUCAUUAUCUCUAAAAAAAGGCAUUUAGCGCACUUCCCAAUCCACCAGGCCAAACAUAUAAAACAAAAGGACACAAACACAUAAAACAUAAAGAAACAAACAUGACUAGAGGAUCACCUCAGGAUUGAUGCGAGUGAGCACAAUGUUCUUCUCUGGCAAUCUAAUGAUAGGCCGAACAAUUUUCUCGUGGUUAUCAGACAGUGGAGGAACCUCCUCUAGUUGUACCUUAUACAACUUUCCAUUAUCCGUCACACAAUCAUUAUCUAUGUACUGCUUCAACAGCCACCUAUCGUCCAUGUACCGCUUCAUUUCAGCAGACAUUCCGGCCAUUCGAACCCCAUCACUCUCGCGUGCAACCCAGCUUCGUAAAGUCUCAACUCUAUCCUCAAAAGACUUCAUGGUGUUGGCAACAAUCAACGUCUCAUCGAGAUCAAACACAAUUGAAAGAACCCUCAGAUUCAGCAUUCCUAGAGAAGCACUGUACAGACCUAGAGGAACCGCAUAGCACCAAAAGCACGGAAAUUUCUUCUGCUUACUCGGCAUGGCUACCAAGUGAAUCUCUUCAUCCCCAACCAACACAGUCGCCGUCUGCGUAACACAAUUAAUCACCGCAUUAGUACACUCCGCUUGAUUAACUCGAAAAUAAAAACAAAAUCUGGAUCACAUUCUUCAUUUAAUCAAGAUACUAAGUGAGCUAACUUUACUAGGUCAGUUUAUCCAAUCAAAUUACAUCCAAAAACUUCAGAUUAAACUUCUAUGCUGCUGGUACAUUUUCUAGGGAACCAAACAAAAAGCUCAAUCUAACAAAACCAACAUAAAAAAAAAGCGAAAUUCGGAAAACGGAAGCGAUUGAGUGGGGACCUUGAACUCAUAGAAACAGGAGGCGUGGAGAUUGAUCAAAUGCGGCUGUUCGACAGGGGAGGACGAUUCGAGUUUGCAUCGAACCGAAAACGAAGAAAUCGUCUGGAGAAUCGAGAGGGGAGGACACCUCUCGCUUUGCUGCGAAAUCCGGUGGAUUCGAAUCUCAUUGUUUGGGAACUGGAAACUCCCCUCCGUCACCGGAAUAGCGUCCAGCUCCCCCAAACACAGCUCGCCAUGGUAGACCACGGACUUAAACCCUAAACGGCUCAUUAAUUUAGAUCAAUCCGAGAACGAAAGCGCGAAAAUUUGAGGCCAAUUCGUAAUUUGAAAAGAUCAGGGGGUUUUCUGUGAAAAAUUUGGGAGUAAUUCUCCAGUUUCGCUCUCUGCUCCUCCUUUCUCACUACUCUCAGACCUCUUCGCCCUCACUCUCUCUCUCUCUCUAACUUUCCCUCUCUAUCUCCCUCUCUCUGCCUACGGCUUCAAACAAUGAGACUCGCCGGGUAUUUAUACGCCCAAGGGGGCAGUUAUGUGUCCAAAUUACCAUUAUAUCCAUUCGGUCCGGACCCAUUGCCUUACGUGUCAUGCCCUUGGCGGGUAGACGAGAAAAUAAUUUGACGCGUGUCGUAUGGAGGAGUCCCAUGAUUUUGAAUGUACGGAUCCGAACCGUUGGAUCGUGGGUCGGAUUUUUGGACUUUUCCGAAUCGUUCAGCUCAAGAGGCAUCAAGAAUUGGCCACCGAAAUACAAAGGUACAGGUCUUUAUUAUUGCGAAAAUAAAAUGAGGCUAUUCAAUAGCCAUCGCGUAUUUCAUUACUUUUCUUCCUUUCCGUCCAAAAUUAGAAAAAAAGAAUAUCGAAUAAUUGAUUCAUCAUUGAGAGGAUUAACUCAAAAAAGACGAAUAUUGUGAUGCUUUAACAGCAACAGUUCAAACAAGACUUUUCCAUUUCGUGUACUGUGGAAAAUACGAUAUUAUUUUAUUUUUUAUUUUUUUAAUUCAGACAGUUAAUUUGAUUUUUGUCAGCUAAUUAACGGAAACCAGGCUGAACUUUGUUAUUACUUACAUGAAAUUUCAAUUUGAAAAUAUAUUUUAUACAUAUAUAUAUAUAUAUAUAUAUAUAAUUAUAAGACCAACAUCAAUGGUUAAGUUAAAAUUCAAAAUUUAAGUUUUAAACUCGUCCAAAAUUUCUCCAAUCAUUGGGCUAUAAAAAUGACUUGGAUUAAGACUUAUUUUUGGGAUAAAUUUAACUGAGAAAACAGACUAAGAUUAAUGGCUGAGACCCAGUUGCUAACUUUGUCAAUCACUUACAAAAUGAAAUUUUAACGAAAAACUUCCAGUACUUUUCACUUUAACGAAAAAUUAUAUUUUUACAUUAAAAAGUUAAUCCUGGUAUUAUUCACUUUAACUUUUAUUUUAUCCUUAUCAUUACAACUCAAAGUUUUUAAAAUUUUUUUUAUUAAUUUUCCUCUUACAAAAUAGCAUCGACUGUUUUUUUUUAUUUUUUUUUAUCUGACGGGCCACAUAGGAUGAGCUGAAACAGGAAAAGUUGUAUUUAUAAUGUUUUGGUACGUAAUUGACCGGGAAUAAACGUCGCGGUCAUAAAGAAUGUUAGUAAGCUGGGUGAGGUCCAUUUGGACUUUAUUUAAAUUGGGGGACUGUGAAAAUGGGCCUCUAGAGAUACUUGGCCCUCAAAAUCCAAUUAGAAGUCUCAAAUAGGAUUUGACAACUCAAUUUAUUGCAUGUGACUCUUUCUUAAUCGGUGAAUUGCAGUAGCGAAAUUACCAGCUGGUCUUUAUUUUUUAAUAAAAAAAAUAGAUUUCCAAAAACAUUUACUUUAUAAAUAAAAGUUUGCUAUUUGUUAGGUUUAUUGCAUGACCACACAUAUACGGGAUUCCAGGGGUUUUUUCCUCUCCUAAUUUUAAUUUUUUCCUCAAAAAAAUAUCAUUCACCUUAUCUCCUAAAAUCCUAAUCCUAAAGCACAGAACCAAGCUCCAAAAUCCAUCAUAACCCACUAAGCAAAAAAAGAAGCAAAAGCACAAAGAACCAAAAAUUAAAGUCAAGAACUUUCUCAUCUGUAAAAUGACAUUGAAAAAACAAAAGCUGGGAACUUUGAAGAAAAGUAGAUUACUGUGGAAUCUGGAACCCUAAGCUGAAAUGGGAGGCUCUGGAAUCCUGCUUAUGUAACGGAAAAGUGCUUUUGCGUUUCUGGGCCUGUAUGGUUUUAACCAAAAACCAAAACCCAAAUGGCAUAGAAACAGAGAAGGCAGAUGGCCGGUGGGAAAGUAAAGGGGGAGGAUUAAAUUGAAAACCCAUGUUGCGUACGAACAAAAGUUUAGGAAAUAGGAAUUGGGUUUAGUGAAUUAUCACUUUUCAGUGGGAAAUUUGAUAAAUUUGAAGAGAUCAAAAGCACCAAUUACAGAAACGAGUGAGAGGAGAGGCUAUGACUGUUCGUGAUGGCUGACAUUGUUUUUCUUGGGUUUAAUCUCUUACCCAAACUGCAAGGGAAGGGACAGAUUAGGCAAAUUUAAAGUGAGGGUUAUGGUGGAGAGGGACUUAAUGGGAGUGAUCACACUCGUAGGUCAAAUUUGAUUGAUUUGGGCAUUCUCCUCCAUAAUUCUUUAGGCAUUUUCUGGUACUGGUAGGUAAUCGGUCACACGGAAACUGCUCAAGUUUCAAACUCACCAAAACCAAGUUUUGUACAAAAGAAAAUAUAUCUUAGUUGAUUUUUUCUUGCUAGGAGGAAAAAUCCUUCUUUCUUGACGCACGAGAGAUUUUUGGGUUAACAUGCGGACGUUAUCAACCCAACUGGUUAACCUUUAUCAACAUUCCCUUCACUUCAAACACCUUAUUUACUGUUCGACAUAAUUAAGUAAGCGGAAGUGAUUUCCGCACUCAUUUUUCUCUCCUGCAUUCCUCCCCUUUUCUUAGGAUUUGGAUUGAAUAGGUCAAAAGAGAAUCAAGAGUCGGAAAAAAGGAGACAAGUGCAAAAGGAGAAAACAGGAAUGUGAAAUUCACUACCUUAAGCAACUCGACGUGGAAUGUUCUAAUAUGACAACAAUAUGAAGAAUGAAACCUUAAUAAUUUCAAGUUUCGUAGUUUGAAGUGAACAGCAAAAUGUAAAUGCCGAAGGAGGUCUUCAGCUUCCAAUCAUCAAAAUAUAAUACGAACAAUCAUGUCUACAGAGAAUAUGGUUCAUUGGAUGCACCUGAUAUUUGUUCCGCUAGCAAUGUGAGGACCGAUAUUCAGAACAGACGUGCACUCACAAGCUUUCUCUAACAUUUACAGUAUUAUCGCGUGCCUUCUACCAUCAGCUCCUUCAGGAAUGAGUUGCCGCUUAAUUAUCAUGCUGAUUAGGCCAACCCCAUGUCAAAUAAUAAUGUUGAGAUAAUGACGAGGAUGGAUGCAAAACCAAUAAUCCGGGGUUGAUGGUCACAUGGGGUGGUCACCUACCUCGAUGGCUUGCAGGAGAGGAAUUUCCUCUCUCACUUCCAAGAUCAAUAUCUUCAACUUCACACCCCUCCAAACUAACAGGAAUGGUGUUGACACUUGGUUCGGAGCUAGCAUUGCUGCAUGUGGCAAGAGGAGAAUCCAUAGCACCAAUUGUAUUGCUUUUUGUUGGUUUUGUUCUGACGCUAUACCCAGAGGAGGCUGGAACAUUUGUCAGAACUGGCCGUAGAUUGCCUGCCAUGCUUCGCUUUAUAUCCUGCAUAAGAAAAUUCCAAAAUUAGUUAAAAACUACUUCUUACAACGAGUGCUUUGCUAGUGACGCGGAUAAUUAUGUAUCACACCAAGCAUAAUUUGGAUAGUACUAAGUGGGUUGCAAGAUCUGAAUGCAGAACAUUACGCAUUAAGUGAAACAAAGUGCACUUGAACAACGAAGGUGAUACAUACCAUGUGCCUCAUAGCCAUAUCAAAGGACUUUUUAGAAAGAUUUCUUCCAAAGCCUGAGCUUUCAGAGGAUGAAGGCUUCCCAGCAGAACCCUUAAGAGUAGUGUAAUGGUCAUAUUGCUUAGGUGGUGCCAAUCUCCUCGAGUUUACUACUCUCUCAACCAUUUGUGUUCCCAUAAGUACAGGGUUCACAUCAUCAUUGUCAUGGGCAGAUGCUCUGCUUAUGACUCGAUGAGAGUUCCCACUGGUAGCGGUAAUAACAUUUGAAGCCCGUGCUCUAGAAGGUGAACACGAUUGCUGUCUUGGAUUUCCGUUGCAACCAGCCACAACAGAAGAUGUUUUAACACUUGGCGCUCCAGGCCUAUCCCUAGAGGCUGAAGCCGGCCUUUGUGGCAAUGAUGUUCUUAAAUUUGGCGGAGCAUCAUGUGAAAACCCAGGAAUCUUAGAGGAUUUUGAGGGCCUUGGUUUUACCGUUGGAGAACUUCCACGUGAUGAAACGGGAGUUUUUGAACUUGUGGGACGUAACUUUGAUGCUGAAGAAGAUCGACCAGGAGGGGCAGAUACAGCAGAUGCACUUGAUGAACUUAGUUGACGGGUUGGUGUCGCUGAUCUUGAUGUUGGUGCAGAAGGUCUGCCAGUUGGUGUAGAAGAGCGAGGAGUGGACCGAGAAGGAGUUGAAGAUCUCACUGGAGGAGCCGCAAGCUUUGCGGAUGAUGAGGUGGCUCGUGAAUUUGGGGUGGAGGAUCGUGAGGGCUUGGUUGAUGAAGGUAAUGUGGACCGCCCAGUUGGUGUUGUGGACCGUCCAGUUGGAGUUGUAGACCUACGAGUAGCAGCUCCUGACCCUCUGGGUGUUGAGGGCCUUCUGUUACCAGUACUGGAAGAGUUCAGUCCAGACGGCAAUGUUGGCUGCUUAGAUGUUAUAUUGUUCCUUGAAGCAGAUUCUAUCUGGUUGUUUGCUAGCUGAAAGUCCCAAGUUAUGGAAACAUAACAGCAUAAAUUUGCAAAUCAAGACUUCAAAAGUAAAAUGAAAUGUCCCAAAACAAACAAUAAAACACCACAUGCAGUCAUAAGUUUGUAACUCGUAAAGAAGACUAAAACUAUGGGAAGAUUCAAGUCCAACAUUACUAUGACACACAUACAUCUCAUAGAAUCUACGAUCAACGAGUCAAAUGUACAAAUGCUGCACGUACAUUUCAUAGAAUUAACAACAAUGAGUCAAAUGUACGAAUGCAGCACAUACAUCUCAUAGAAUUUAACGCUUAUAUGCAUCUAGAAAUCAUUUUAACGAGUCCUUACCCGAGAUUUUGGAGCGAAUACACGGUCAUUAGUAACCUCAGUCUGAUUCGUUAUUGUUUUCUGCACUUCCAUAUCCAAGGACGGAAAAAGUGGAGUAGCCGGUGGAGUAAGAAGCCUGUACAUAGAAAAGAUCACCGAUAAACGAUAGCAGAACAACUCCGGAGUCCAGACCAAAGCAUAGAGAUAAGAGCGAGAACUAUAACUAUAAGUCUACAAAAUUGAACAAGAAUUUCUAUGUGAAGGCUCAAAUCAAUUUUUCUUGAAAACAGCCCUUAGAAACAGAACAGCCCCCGAUUUUUCGGACACCUCAGCGAAAUGUUUUGGAAAUCAGAUCCCAUCUCAUUAGUCCUAGGAUAAUUAAUCCUAUCCAAUUUAGCAACAGAGCAAUUAUCUUCAUCAAUUCAACAAGUUACCAUGAUCGGAGGCUUAAACUUUGAUUAGUCCUAGGAAAAUUUAAUCCCACCAAAAAAUAAGCAUAAAAUCAAAGACUUGAACUUCGACACUAAUUUACUCACCAAUCGUAAUCAGACUUCUCAUUCUCCGAAUUCAAAAACUCAUCCACCCGGCUCUUCCGCGGCGGCGCCCCAACAGUCCUAGAAACCGCCGCGCCUCCGCGGUUAACAGAUUCUGCACAAACAAGCGCAAGCACCAUCAAAACCAACAGACAAAGACCGAAACUUUAAACCACAAACAAGAAACCCAAAAGGUCGUACCCGGAGGAGCAGCGGCGGCAAUAGCGUCGAGCUCAUCCGCGUUCUUGCUCGGAGGAAGAAGAAGAAAGCCGGUAUUUUUCUCCUUGUCGCGCCUCCGCAUCUCGAGAAACAAAGCGAGCUCUUCGUCUCUGUCGUUCGCGUUCACCACCUUCCCGAAGCUCCGUUCUCGCGCCCUCGACUCCAAUGUAACUUCCAUGGUUGUCUCUGCAGCUCAGCAAACACAGAGGCUGCUGCGAGGAGAGAGAGAGGAGGAGCGGAGUUUUUUGGUAGCUGAAAUUUUCAGGUGCUGUUUUUUCUUGGCAGUUCUCUCUCUCUCUCUCUCUCUCUCUCUCUCUCUCUGUUUUGCAAGAGUUCAGAAAUUUGAAUACGAAAACGAAGCAUUGGGAAAUUAAUAUUUUAUUUAUGGGCUAAGAGGUGGCGAUAAUUACGACUCUGCCAUUGUAUUUGUUCUUGCGAGACGCGGCCUUAGUCAUCUUCCUCAUCCACUGUAGACAUGUGAAGAUAAAGCUGGAUUGAAUUGGAUACAUGUAUGCGUGAUUUUUGGGAUAGAAAAAGCUUAGAACUUCUUCCAUAAGAUUCUGUAGGAGAAGAUUGAGAUUUGAACGCAUGACUUCAAGUGCAGAGUAAACGCUCUUAAUUACUUUAUAUAUAAGUAUCUUAUCUAGAAUGGUAAUCAAAGUUUAGCAUCUUAGAAACUCUUGGAAUUGGAUUAAAAGACGAGAGAGAAUUAAGUUACUGGUUCACUUUCCUCCAAAUAUAUCAAAAACAAACGUGUAGCUCAUUAGAUUGUUAAAUUUCAAUAUGUGACAAGGAAAAUCUCUUAAUAAGAUUUUUAUAUUGCUUGUAACUAGACUAUUUGUUUUAGUAUGUUGCAAAAUAUGUUCAAGAUUGUGAAUACAUAUUACAUUUGAUCACUCUAAUUACAUAAAAUGUGCUGUUGAGAGAUGUCACAGUCUGACAACAUAAUAUGUUAAACUGUGUGAUAAAAGAAUACUUUGCUCAUUUGUCAUGUUUGCAUGUGAACAUAUCAACUACAACCUCAACUACAUCGAGAUUUUGUGAUCAAACGUAAGAUAAAAACAAUUGAAACUCAUCAAUCAAUGGAUAACCCCUAUAACUUGACAAUAAACGAAUUGUUUUUUUUUUAAUAAUAACUCCCUACACUUGAGUUAAUAAUACACUUUCCAAACUAAUCAAAAAUUACAAACUUACAUAAAAUACUUGAUUACUUGCAAUACAAGAAAUCUUAUAAUUAAUAGGUCACCUCCUCAAUUCCUAAAAAUACUAUUCUACCCCCAUCUUUUAUGAAGUUGCUUGAAUGUACUAGUACAAGAAGCUCCAAAAUUAUUGAAAGAUUAUCACAUUCCAAGCAAAUGACGAAAUCAGUGGCAAUUUCGUAAUUAAGCGCUCAGGCAAACCCAUUUUCCAAACGAGAUAUAAAAUUCGGGAGUAACAUUCCCAUUACGUAAUGGCACAUGGUGGAAGCCGCGAGCCUUUGCCUGACGACAUGUCGUAUUAAAACGCCGAGGAAUUUAAUUCAAACUUUCUUGUUCAAAAGAUGCUCGGAUUUAAACGUGGGUUGUUGGAUUCCUUUCCUCGAGAUGGCCUACUCCACAUCGGACGGCUGUUGUUGGUUGGCAGAUUUAUUAGGAGCUUGUAUGUCGUGGGUCCCACCUCGAGAAUCGUGUGGUUUAAAUUUUGAUAUGUCUCGACAAUAAAAAAAAUUUCAAUAUGCCGAAACACAAUUCAAUAUACUAAAUGUCAUAAUAUAAAUAAUUAAAUAUUUAAAAAAUAUAUAUUUCAACUAUUUGUAUUAAAAUACUGUAUUGUCUGACACACUUACAAUUUCCCCUUAAUAUGCAGUUCGUGGGUCCGGAUGAGAUUGCAGAUUGCUGUGACUGGUCAGUCACCUAUGGCCCACACAAAGCCCAAUCCGAAAAGGAUCAUAUCAUAUGACUGUAUUUUUUAAGAAAAUGUUAUUGAUAUUUCAAAAAUCAUAUUCUACACUUAUUAUAAAUGUAUUUUUCUUUUUAAAUAUAGACAGUUUGGAGCGUUUAAGAAAAAUUUCACUGUAGAUCAUGUAAUUCAAUUUUUAAAAAUUUUGGACAUGAAGUUUGUACUUUUUUAAUUUGAUUUAACUUGCUAACUCAUUAGAUUUGAGGAUGAAAUUUCGCGUAGCACUACAUGCGUGUUUUAUAUGUUCGACUUUUUAUAGUAUUGCGUGUUUUAAAUCAGUUUGAAAAACUGAGAAUUUCGAGCGUUUAAACUAGGUUUUCAGGUUUCUGGCAAAAUAUUAAUCGUUGUUUUUAGGGCACGUUUUCUUAAGCCAAAGCACUUAAAUGUUACUUAUGCUCAUGCAUGUGAUGUCAUGUCAAAUUUCAGUUCUUAAUUUUAAUGGAAGGUAGGAAUUGAAUAAAGAAACUAUAAUAUACCAAAUUAAAUAAAGAAAACUAAUAAAAAAAUUUGAAACCUUUCAGUUUUAACAAUAAAAACAAAAUAAAUAGUAAAAUAAAUAGUAUCAGAAUUGAAUUUUUUAAUGUAAAAAUAUGAUUUUUCGUUAAAAUGAAUAAAACCAGAAGUUUUUUGUUAAAAUUCCCAAUUAAAUAAGUAAGGAAACUACAAAAUUAAGGUUUGCCUAAAAUCAGAAAAACAAGUAAGACAAUGCAUUUCUUAACAUCAAACUCCACACAUAAAAACUCAACCUUCCAUUUUCAAUCCCCUAAAACUAAAUUCGGGAAUCAAUAUCCAUACAUUCAUUUCUACGAAUCAAACAUAGCCUGCGUGUAAGUUUCGAGAGUAAAAUAGAAUAAGACAACAUUUUGUGUGAGGAUAGAAAUACAUGUGUUGUGUUAGGGUAUGGUUGGUACUCUACUUGAAUAUAAUUUUUUAAAAUAAAAAACAAUUUUAAGUUUUGAGCUUUAAAAACUUGUUUGGUAUGAUUAUUUUCAAAAAUUAAACUCAAGACUAACUAAAAAAUAUAGUCUAUUACCUAAAAACAUAAAAAAUGAGUUUUUAGAGUUUUUAAAUUUAAAUUCACUUAUUUCUUUUCUCUCCCUCCUCCCCCCUCACUCCAAAUCUAUUUCUCUCUUCUUCUUUCUCUGUCCUAUUUUUUUACCAUUUUCGUCUCUUUUUCAAUCCGUUCUUUUCAUUUUCUCCAUUCUUUCUCUCAUUUCUCUUCCUCUCUAUCUCGUCCAAUCCUCUAUUUCCUUUCUCUUUCUUUCAAUCAUCUCUUACUUUCUUUCAUUCUCUCUCCUCUUUCUGCCUCUCUUGCGACCUUUUUUUUUAGAUAUCUUUGUCUAGUUUAAGUCGUAAGAUUUAAAAUUUUUAAAUCGCAAACCAAUCAAGUUUUUGAGUUUUUAAAAAUUGUUAUCAAGAAAUGUUUUGAAAAAGGAUAAAGGAAUUCAAAUGGAAUACCAAACAUGCCCCUUAGUGUUUUCAGAUAUACGAUCAAAUACACUAAGUGCCAUAAUGCAAUUAGUUGAAUUUUUUUCUUCAAAUAUUUAGGCACUUAUAUUAUGACACUUAUGUGUCAGUGUUUCUAACACAUUCAAAAACUUUUUGUAUUUUUGGGGUCGGAAGUGAGUGAGACGUGCAUGGCAUGUUGCAUGCUCAAUCGAGCCCCAUGCUCCUCUCAUGUGUUAUUUGUAGUGGGUAAGGGGCACGUGGUUGUCGCAUCGAGUGUAGAAUUUUUGGUGAUAGUCGGAGCAAUCAGUGCCUAAGACAAUGAUGUUUUUACACCAUCAGGUCCUGUCGUCCCGAGACCAUACAAAGCAUUUGUAGCUGCAGAAUAAGAAUAAUUGCAAGUGGUAGGCAUCACCGCAUUAUUGCAAGGGAGAUGUUAACCACAUUCUCAGUUCAACAUUUUUGUUCUACUUUUUCGAUUCUCUUUUAUUUUGAUUUUUAUUCUCUUUCUAUUUUAUUUGUAAUGAUUGAAGAUGACUUGAACCGUCAACUUUUUAGGUCGUCCUUUAAAGAUCGACUUUAUAAAACACUUAUCAAAUCAAUCAACUUUUAGCUAUUCAAUUAACGUUGUUAAAAUUUCAAUGUUUAAUUGUUUGAUCGAAGAACAUGAUUCAUCUAAUCAUUGAAUACUAGUUUGAUGGCUAAAGGAUUUCACAUUUGGUUGAUUUUGGCAAAGAUAAUCUUUAUACAACGACCUAGAAAAUAAAGGGUUCGAAUCAUCAUACAAUGUUUCUAUCCGUUUUUAUGAUAGGCAACUAUGUCACUGAAAGCGGACGUUACUCAAAUGCUUAAGAGCAUUUACCUUUGACCUCGAGAUUAUUCGUUUGAUUCCCUCCGCUGGCAACAUCGCUGGAGAAUAACUCUCACAGAAUUAGAUUCAUGAAUGAAUAAUGAGCACAGAAACAAUGCAAUUUUCCGAUAGGCAACUUUUUAAGUAGAAGCAACAGUUCAUAGGAUAGGAAGGUGAAUUAGCCGCACAGGCUCGGUUAUAACCAGAAAAACAAAAUGAUCUGUUCAAUUAGACUCGCUCGGACUAAACAAAAUCAUCCGUUUCAACUCUCUUCCAUGAUAUUACCUUCGACAGUCUAGGAGUUUCAGAAGGUUGAAACUUUGUCGGAAGACCUGUAACGCUGUCAGUUGGUUCUCUAGGAAAAGUGUCCAGCAACUCAAUUCGCCAUGGACCAACUAACCACUGCUCCAACAACUCUCAACCCAAAGAGGCAUUGCAUCCGUAUCAACUUUAAUGGCCCUGAAACGUGAGGAGUCUCCACAAGAAAUUGGAUAUGGAUAUAUGGGGAGAUGGAGAAUGGCUUUCAUGAAAACAACCACACCCCAAUAGCCAUCACAGAGUGGAGAAGAAGGGCAAGGUCGCGAGGAGUCUGAUAAUGUAGAACAUUGUUCCUUUCACUCCAAAGAUACCAGCUGAUGAAUGGAAACCGACAAAGCUCUUCCCCUGACAAGACAUGCCGCAGCUGAUUCAAUAAAUCCAUAGCUGCGCCCCAACACCUUUGGGAACUGCAGCAGUAAAAGCUGUCAUUUCCUACUUGUCCAAACCAUAUUGCAUGCGCCAACGCUUCAGAACCCACCCCACAUCUGAAGCAUGAAGCUGAAUUCCCCACCCAGUGCUUGGAAGCAGAAUGCAGGAAAGUAGAAAGGCACGUCAUAAACAAACUAGUCAAAUCUGGUGCAUAUCUCCACAUGAAGUUCCAACAAGACCGUUCGUUCCCUGGAACUUCCCAGUUACAAGAGUAUCAUACGUAUCGUCAUGUGGUACAAGACCUUUGUCAAGCAUCUCAUCAUGCAACCUAAAAGCCUCUUGCAAAUGCCCCUCCUUGAAGUUCCCAGCAACCAAAGUAUUAUAAAUAUGAACACUGGGAGUCAUUCCCCUACUAUUCAUGUCUUCAAAGUUCUUUCGUGCAUUCUCUAGCUGUCCUUUGUUACGAAGGGCAUUUAUCAGAACUGUAUAUGUUCUUUUAUCAGGUACAAUUCCCUUCUGAAGCAUCUCUGAGUAGAGAUCUGUAGCAGAUUGUAACUCUCCCUCUCUUAGAAAUCCAUCAAUUAAUGUAGUGUAUGCUUUCAAAUCACAAGGAAUACCUUCUCUAAUCAUCCUGUUGUGCCAGUCAAGAGCCGCUUCCACGUUAUUUAAACUCCGGAAGCCAGAUAUCAUGCUACUGUAAACAGCUACAUUUGGAGAUAAACCAACUUGAAGGAGUUCGAAGAAAAGUUCACGCGCAGAUCCCAUGUCUCGUCUUUUACAAAACCCAUCAAUUAGAGCACAAUAUGCAGUAGCUCCAGUUCAAUGCCCUUGUUUUCCAUCUCAUUCCACAUUUUCAAAGCCAUAUCAAUUUGAUUGCUUAUGCAAAACCCAUUAAUAAUGCUGGUGUACGUGACAACAUUAGGAGAGACUCCACCUUCACACAUUUCUCUGUAUACAGCCAGUGCAGAAUUAAUGUCACCCUCCUUGGUAUACCCAUUUAUAAUGCUAUUGUAACUAACACAUCCAGGAAUAAAACCCCUCGCAACAAUUUUCUUUAACAUAUCACUUGCCUCGGAUGUACGACCAGCUUUGCACAAGCCAUCGAUGACAAUGCCAACUGUGAAGCCUGUGGGAGAAAUCUUGGCAGCCACCAUAUCAUCAAAGACAUGCUCUACAUCACCGUUCUUGAAGUAGCCGUUUAUCAAGAUAUAUUAAGUCACAUCGUUUGGUUUCAAACCCCUUUUAAGCAUCUCCACAAAUACACUGCGUGCAUGCUCCAUAUUCCCUAUUCUGCAAUAGCCAUUUAUCUUGCUAUUGUAAGAUACUACAUUAGGUACCACACCUUUACACAUCAUUUUAUCCCAUAAACUACAAGCUUCACUUACUUUACCCUUCCCACAAAGCCAUGAUAAGAUAUUAUUAUAUGAGAAAACAUUAGCAACACCACACUCAACAACCUCAUCAAACAAGUUAGACGCAUUUCCAAAUGACCGAUAUUUCAAAAAUCCUCAUAGCAAAUGAUUUACAAUGAAGACAUCAGGAAAAAUAUCCAUGUCUUUCAUUUGCGUGUAAAGCUCAUAAGCCUUUUCCAUGUUCCCAUUCUUACAGCAGUAUUCUAUAAGAAUUGCAUACGUAACCCUGUUUGGAGUAAGUCCAUCCUCUAUAAUCAUAAUGAACAAACCCAAAGCACUCUCCAAAUUCCCUUGCACACAAUAACCCUUCAUCAAGCUUGUAGCAGCAACCAAAUUAACUGGGUACCCACAACUUACCAUACCAUCCUUAAUCCUUAUGGCUUCAACCAUAUUCCUCUGCUUCACACAAGCCGUGAUGACACUGCUAAACGUGACCACGGAAGGAACCCACCCCAUUUCUCUCAUUUCAUCCAACAACUCCAAAGCCAAACACGAAUUGGGUUUCUUACAAAAAGCUUCAAUAGCAACACUAUAGGAUGCUGCGUCAAGUUCUACCUCUCUUGCCCUCGCCUCUCGAAAGUACUCCUCUGCGUCAUCCGGCUUCCCCUGCUUCAAACAACCACGCAUCAUCACGUGUAGAGUGACACGAUCACCUCCAAUUCCUCUCAAAGCCAUUUUAUCAUACACCUCUCGUGCUUCCCCCAUCAUAUUUCUCCUAACCAAUUCUGUUAAAAGAAUAUUUACAUACGUAACACAAGGACACAUCUCAAGCUCCAGAGUUCUACUAAAGCAAUCAAUGGCACAUUCGAUUCGAUUGGCUCUAACAUAAUUGUUCAAUAAAUAGCCAAAAACCUGAGAUUCUAGUUCAAAAUCAAACCGUUUGGCGCAGUCCACCAAGUGAUGGACAAAGACGCCCGAAUUGCCGGAAACGUACUGGUUAAGCAACAUCUUAGCACGCCUGUGAGUCUUCGGAUUGCCCAUCAAAAUGUGAAGCAACACACAAACGGCAUCGACACCUCUGACAAAACCUCGCUCCCUCUCACCCCAUUUGAAGUAAUUUACUGCCGAAUUGGGCUUGCUUUUGUGGCUAAGAAGAGUGCUGAUCACACUGGUUUGUGUUAAUUCCGAGUCUUCAGAAACUGGGGCGGCGAACUCGCCCUGAUUGGGGUCUGAUGCAACUGGGUUUUCCUGAAAUUCGAUUUCUCAUGUGGGUUUCUCGGGAAAAUCAGAUUUUGAUGUGAUUUUCUCGUAAAAAUCUGUGCUUGGAUUGGAAUUCCCGGAAAAUGGCGGCGAUUCUGAAUGGGGUGUUGGAGAGGAAUUUAGGGUUUAAGAAAGGAAGACGACGUAGUACAGGGAGUGGCGAGGAGUGGAGGGACUUCAUUGUUUGGGGUCCUUUGCUGCAGAAGAAGAAAUUGAAGAAACCCUGAUGGAGAUCAAAGGCUUCGGCUUGGUGGCAUAGUGAUGAAGCGAGGAAGGGGAUGACAACAGAGGCUGCGGCGCGAGCUUUGGCCAUUUACGGUUUUACCCCCUUGAGAUAAAAUUCAAAUCCCCAAAUACAUAUUAAGGAUAUUAAUUGUUUGAUAGGCAAAUCAGAAAAUGGCGCUUAACAAAAAAUUACCACAUAAUUAUUUAUUCAUACAUAAGUGAAAUGUUAACUUCGAUUUUCGUAGAUGGUGAGUUUUAUACCAUCUAAUUCUAGUGUGUCACAGCCCGUCCCAGAAUUACUUAAUACCGAGGACGUGAAAUUACAGAAACGCCCUUAAACGGGAUUAAGGUGCGUAAUUUUGACAUUUGUUUUACUUUAAGAUCCUAAACUAGGGUUAGAAUUAUAUAUUUGUAUGUGUUAAUAUUAUAUGGGUUAAGGUAGGGCCUUAUACCCUAAAUCCCUCCCCAAAAUCCGUUUUGUUGUCUCUCUCUCAUCUCCCUAGUCACUCUCUCUCUCUUAUUCUUCAGAAAACACUCUCUCACUCUCUCUCUUACUCUCAUUCUCUCUCAAACUCUCGGACAAACACCCAAGACCUUGAAAACUUCACAAGUUAAGGUUGAGGAAGGUAGCAUCGUGUUCGUAAGGACCAUACGAACACAUUGAUAUUGUUUUCAGGUAAGAUUUCCCACGAUUCCAUGUAGAAAACUUAAGCUCCGAGAUUGCUACUGUUCAUGAACUUAAAUUUGGUUGUGUUUUAGGUUAAACAAAGAUCACCACGAGUCUUAGGAAGUCCCAAGGAGGCUCGGAGUGCCUCGUUUGAACAAAAUGGACGUCGGGAUCGUCGGGUUCGAGUUUGGCCGAAAUUGAGGAAUUUUGGAAGGUAUGAUCUCGUAGUUUUUAGGCCUUAAAACCCUUCCAACGUGAUAGUACAUGUUAAAUGCUUCAUUUUGGUGUAAAAUUCGAAGAAAUUGGACGAAAAACGAAGGAGAAUAGUGGAUUUGAAAAUUUUCCAGAAACCGGCGACCGGCGACUCGCCGGAGAAGACAGGGAAUCUUCCGUCAAGUUUGACGGAAUAUUCCGACGCCGUUAGUUAACUUUAACGGAAACCGUUAGUUUUUAACGGAAUAUUCCGGGAAUAUUCCUAACGCCGUUCACUGUACCGUCAGUGUGCCUGGCACGUGGCUGCGCGUGGGCCGCGCGUAGGUCCGUGCCACGUCAGGCGCGUGGGGGCGCGUGGAGCAUCCAAAAAUUAUUUUAAAAAUAUGGGGAUGAUCCUGAGGUUGUGUAGGUCACUGUGGUAUAUUCAUAUACCCAAUUUGAGCAUCGUAUGAAGAAUUUAUUACCUAGUUGGUUUAGGUGCGUUUAAUGUGCGUUAAAUGAUUGUUUUAAGUUAUUUCACUUCUAGGUGGAACUUUUAACGAGGACGAGCACAUCCAGGGGCGUCAAGGGGGUUACGACCCGGCGACAUACCAGUGAGUGGGCAUUGCUUUCUAUAUAUAUACCUAUAUACUCGAUUUCCCCAGAAAUCAAAUUUAAAUGAAAAAUAUAUUGAAAUGAAAUGAAAUAUGAUGUGAUUGCCAUGCAUAGAAUGUUAUGGAUAUUAUGAACUGUCGUAUGAUGCAUAUAUGUAUGAUGGUGCUGUGGACGCACAGGUAAGUAUUUAAUUACUGUUAUGUUGAGGAUGAUGAUAUAUUGAGCUCAUAUCCUGCACCAUGGUUUAGUGCUUAUAGUAUUCACCGCAUCGCACGCUCGCCUUGGAUCCAAGUAGAUGCUGGUCGUACAGUCCACGCGGAGUGGGUACGACGGGCCAGUCGUAGAAUGUUAGUGAGAUUAUGACUGGUGGGUGACCUUAGGUUAUUGUAUACAGAUGAUUGAUGAGAGAAGCACUUGAGCGAAUAUUACCAUGAGUCGUUCAGACUGCAUUAGGUGGUUCCGACUUAUGUGCAGAAGGCCGGACAGGUCACGCGGAGUGACUCCGGCAGAGAGUGAGAUUGAUAGAUGUUGAGCUCUAGGUUCAAUCGUUCAGGACUAUUAGAGGGCCUCCGAUUGAUUAUUUCUUUUACCUGAUUUAUAUUAUGUCAAUGCAUUCAUACUAAACUGCUGAAUUUGGCAUGGUACAUUCUUUAUUGAAUCUGCUAUAAGAUUGUUGAUCGAGACAGUUGAGAUAUAUAUGCUAUAUACUAUUUUUCUGGGAAAGUAUACAGGUUUUCCAAAAAGGGGUUAUAAAUGUGGAUUUAUGAAAUGUUUUGGAAAAGCUUUAUUUUUCGCCCACUCACGUUUUCUGUUUUUCGCCCCUCCAGGUUCUAGUUGAUAGUUGAGGCGUUGGUGGCCUACGAGGACUGCUUCGGCGUUCUGACAGACUAAAUAAAUGUAGGAUUCACCCGAGGGUGUUGUAAAAUAGUUAUGGUCCUACUUGACUGCACCUAGACGCUUAUGCUCUGUUUAUGUGUGUUUAGUACACUCUUAUGCACAUAGAAUGCUAGGUUGUAAAUAACUGCAAUUAGUGGUUUUCGUUGACUCGUAUUUUAUUAUUAAAUCGUUUCCGCUUGCGUUAUGGUUACGUCACACUCACGUGACGGCCAGCACGUUCUAGUCUUCGGGUUAGGGUGUGUCAGUUUGGUAUCAGAGCAUAGGUUGCAGUCCUGUAUAACUAGUGAUUUUACUUAUUAAUUUUUGGAUGUUUUCUGUCAGAAUUAUGCCGCCUCGUAGAGAUCCUCGCCGUGCUGCUGAGCCUAAUUUCCCCGAUAUAACUCAGCUAGGGGCAUCAAUGGCUCAAGCUUUUCAGGCUAAUAUCCGUCCUCCUCAGAGAACACCUGUAGAGACGAUGUAUAAUCUGAAAUUGGAAACCUUUGAGGGAAAUGAAGGUUAUGAAGGGGCAGAAAAGUGGUUGGAUCGGAUUGAGCAGACCUUUCAAGUGAUGCAAAGUCAAGGAAACCUGCCAGCUAAUAGAUGGGUGGAGACCACCACCUGGUUUUUGGGCCGUGAGCCAGCGGCGUGGUGGAUAAAUCAGUCGAGGCACAUGGCACCUGAAAGGACAGCCGAAUGGGAGGUAUUUAAGGAAAAUUUUAUGAAGAGAUUUGUUCCUCCGGAAUAUAUAGAUCGCAAGAAACAGGAAUUCACCAGUCUGAAGCAGAGAAAUAUGUCCGCACAUGAGUACUACAGGAAGUUUACUGAUUUAUCCCGUUAUGAUUCUGAUUUAGCGGGUAAUCAAGCAGAAAUGCUUCGUCGUUUCAAGUUAGGAUCUAAGAAGAAGUACAGAACGUUUGCCAAUGCACUUCCCUGUGCCGAUUAUCAUGAGUAUUUUGAGAUUCUGGUCCGGAUGGAAGACUCUGAUAAUCUUCCGGACAGUGAGGAUGAAGAGGAUAAGGGUAAUGGUCAGAAGAAAAAUGAGAAAGGUAAAGGUGUUUCCAUUCCAGGACCUCGUCAGAUGCAGAAUUUUAAGAAGAGUGGAAUGAGUUCUAGUUCUUCCAGUGGUGGAUUUAGUGCCACAGGUCCGAGGAGAGGAGGUGGUAGGUUUGGUAAUGGACCUAGAUUUUCUGGUCAGAGAGGCUUUGGUGGUACUGGUAGUUCGGGUUCUCCGUUAUGUCGCCGUUGUAAUUUCCGACAUUAUGGGGAAUGUAGGAGAAUCAGUGGUGCAUGCUUUACAUGUGGUCAGACAGGACAUAGAGCUAUGAAUUGUCCCCAGAAUCAGCAGAGGCCCCAGCAGCCUGUUAGGCCAACACCAGCACCGACUCAACAGAACUUUAAUUCAGGCAGUUAUGGCCAGGUUGGUCGUGGUGGUGCUUAUCAUUAUCAGGGUGAUGCUACUCCAUAUGCUCCAGGACAGUAUCACUAUUCCCAGGAUCCUUAUUCUCAGAGUGGAUAUUCUCAGGAUCAGGGAGGUUAUACUUCAUAUCCGUCUAUGCCAGCUAGCGGAUCUCAGUGGUAUCAGGGGGGUCAGCCCCAACAGAGCGGAGUUGCUGCUAGCAGUGCAGGGUCGUUUAGGCCGCCUGCCCAGACAGGUCAAGGAAGUAUUCAUCAGGGACGAGGUAAUCAGAGUGGCAGAUGUCGUGGAGGACGACAGCCAGCUCAGGGACGUGUUAACCACAUAUCGCUGCAAGAUGCUCAGAACCAUCCAGACUUGAUUAUGGGUACGUUGAAUGUUCUUGGUCAUUUUGCUAGAGUCUUGAUUGAUUGUGGUGCUACACACUCUGUGAUUUCUCAUACAUUUGCUCAAAUGACACAACCUCAUCCUUCACCUCUAGGGUUUGAUUUAGAGUUUGCUAUGCCUAGAGGGGAUAAAUGUUAUGUUGAUAGUUUUUACUCUGGGUGUCCAGUGAUGGUAGAUAAUGUCAUUAUGCCUGCUAAUCUUAUCCCGUUAGACAUCGUGGAUUUUGAUGUGAUUUUAGGGGCGGAUUGGUUGCAUUAUAAUCGCGCCCAUAUAGAUUGUUACGGGAAAUCAGUUACUUUUCUUCGUCCUGGACUACCUGAGGUUACAUUUGUGGGUGAAAGAAAUGGGGUGAGGCAUGGUGUUAUUUCAGCCAUAAGGGCAAAGAAGUUGUUAUCCAAGGGUUGUCAGGGAUACUUGGCACAUGUGGUGUUAAAUGAUGUUGAUUCCGGUAGUGUGGAGGAAGUCGGAGUAGUCAGACACUAUCCUGAUGUAUUUCCAGAUGAUUUACCUGGGUUGCCUCCAGAUAGAGAUGUGGAAUUUUCGAUUGAUUUACUUCCAGGUACGAACCCUAUCUCUUUGACUCCUUAUAGAAUGGCACCAUCGGAAUUAAGAGAGUUGAAAAUUCAAUUGCAAGAGUUAAUUGAUAAAGGUUUCAUUCAGCCUAGUUCUUCACCGUGGGGAGCUCCGGUGUUGUUUGUAAGAAAGAAAGAUGGAACUUUGAGAUUGUGCAUUGAUUACAGGCAAUUGAAUCGGGUGACGAUUAAAAACCGUUAUCCCUUGCCUCGUAUAGAUGAUUUGUUUGAUCAGCUCAAAGGUGCCUGUGUGUUUUCUAAGAUCGAUUUGAGGUCUGGGUAUUAUCAAUUAAAGAUUAAAGAUGAGGAUGUUCAUAAAACAGCUUUCAGGACUCGUUAUGGGCAUUAUGAGUUUUUGGUGAUGCCAUUUGGAUUAACGAACGCUCCUGCAGCUUUCAUGAGAUUGAUGAAUGAAGUAUUCCAGGAAUAUCUUGACAAGUUUGUUAUUGUUUUUAUUGAUGACAUCCUGGUAUAUUCUAAGUCGAAAUCAGACCAUAUUCGACAUCUUAACUUGGUGUUAAGGAAAUUGAGGGAACACCGAUUAUAUGCCAAAUUUAGUAAAUGUGAAUUUUGGCUGGAUCAAGUGGCAUUUUUGGGACAUGUGGUAUCAGCUCAGGGAAUUCAAGUGGAUCCUCAAAAGAUAGCAGCAGUGGAAAAUUGGGAACAACCUCGAACGGUCACUGAGGUGCGGAGUUUUCUUGGUUUGGCAGGUUAUUAUAGACGGUUUGUUCAAGACUUUUCUAUGAUUGCCUUGCCAUUAACGAAGUUAACCAGGAAGGAUGUUAAGUUUGAAUGGGAUGAAAGUUGUGAGCAAAGUUUCCAGCAGUUGAAGUAUUGCCUUACUCAUGCACCUGUGUUAGUACUUCCUGAUGAUGAUGGUAACUUCGAGAUCUAUAGUGAUGCUUCUUUGAAUGGUUUGGGUUGUGUUUUGAUGCAGCAUAGUAGAGUGAUUGCCUAUGCUUCUAGGCAGUUGAAGACUCAUGAAAGAAACUAUCCGACUCACGAUCUUGAGUUAGCAGCUAUUGUGUUUGCUUUGAAGAUCUGGAGACAUUAUCUCUAUGGCGAGAAAUGUAAGAUCUUUACAGAUCAUAAAAGCCUUAAGUACCUUUUCACUUAGCAUGAUCUUAAUCUUCGUCAGAGAAGAUGGUUGGAAUUGUUAAGUGAUUAUGAUUGCACGAUUGAGUACCAUCCGGGUCGUGCAAAUGUGGUAGCUGAUGCUCUGAGUAGAAAACCUCAAGGGCGACUUAAUGCUUUGUAUGCCAGUCGUGUUUCUCUUCUUGCAGAGUUGAGAUCUACUGGAGUAGAGUUAGAAUUGGAAGAGCAAAGUGAAGCUUUUCUUGCCAAUUUUCAAGUCAAGCCAAUUUUAAUUGAUCGGGUGCUUACAGCUCAAUCGUUGGAUGAAGAAAUUCAAGAAUUGAUCAGUUUAAGAAAGGAAAGCUAAGCCCCAGGUACAUUGGACCUUAUGAGAUCACUGAGAGGAUUGGUGAAGUUGCUUACAGGUUGGAGCUACCUCCAGAGUUGUCUAAGGUACAUAAUGUGUUCCAUGUCUCGAUGCUUCGACAUUAUGUUUCAGAUCCUUCACAUGUGAUUCCUCCUCAACCAUUGGAAAUUAAUCCGGACUUGACGUACGAUGAGGAACCAGUGACUAUACUGGAUUGGAAAGAUAAAACUUUGAGGAAUAAGACCGUGAACUUGGUAAAAGUAUUGUGGAGAAACCAUUCAGCGGAAGAAGCUACAUGGGAGACAGAAGAACGGAUGAGAGAUAUGUAUCCGAGGCUAUUUUAUGAGUAUUGAGGGUUUGGUUGGUGACUGGAAUUUCGGGGACGAAAUUCUAUAAGGAGGGGAGAUUGUCACAGCCCGUCCCAGAAUUACUUAAUACCGAGGACGUGAAAUUACAGAAACGCCCUUAAACGGGAUUAAGGUGCGUAAUUUUGACAUUUGUUUUACUUUAAGAUCCUAAACUAGGGUUAGAAUUAUAUAUUUGUAUGUGUUAAUAUUAUAUGGGUUAAGGUAGGGCCUUAUACCCUAAAUCCCUCCCCAAAACCCGUUUUGUUGUCUCUCUCUCAUCUCCCUAGUCACUCUCUCUCUCUUAUUCUUCAGAAAACACUCUCUCACUCUCUCUCUUACUCUCAUUCUCUCUCAAACUCUCGGACAAACACCCAAGACCUUGAAAACUUCACAAGUUAAGGUUGAGGAAGGUAGCAUCGUGUUCGUAAGGACCAUACGAACACAUUGAUAUUGUUUUCAGGUAAGAUUUCCCACGAUUCCAUGUAGAAAACUUAAGCUCCGAGAUUGCUACUGUUCAUGAACUUAAAUUUGGUUGUGUUUUAGGUUAAACAAAGAUCACCACGAGUCUUAGGAAGUCCCAAGGAGGCUCGGAGUGCCUCAUUUGAACAAAAUGGACGUCGGGAUCGUCGGGUUCGAGUUUGGCCGAAAUUGAGGAAUUUUGGAAGGUAUGAUCUCGUAGUUUUUAGGCCUUAAAACCCUUCCAACGUGAUAAUGCUUCAUUUUGGUGUAAAAUUCGAAGAAAUUGGACGAAAAACGAAGGAGAAUAGUGGAUUUGAAAAUUUUCCAGAAACCGGCGACCGGCGACUCGCCGGAGAAGACAGGGAAUCUUCCGUCAAGUUUGACGGAAUAUUCCGACGCCGUUAGUUAACUUUAACGGAAACCGUUAGUUUUUAACGGAAUAUUCCGGGAAUAUUCCUAACGCCGUUCACUGUACCGUCAGUGUGCCUGGCACGUGGCUGCGCGUGGGCCGCGCGUAGGUCCGUGCCACGUCAGGCGCGUGGGGGCGCGUGGAGCAUCCAAAAAUUAUUUUAAAAAUAUGGGGAUGAUCCUGAGGUUGUGUAGGUCACUGUGGUAUAUUCAUAUACCCAAUUUGAGCAUCGUAUGAAGAAUUUAUUACCUAGUUGGUUUAGGUGCGUUUAAUGUGCGUUAAAUGAUUGUUUUAAGUUAUUUCACUUCUAGGUGGAACUUUUAACGAGGACGAGCACAUCCAGGGCGUCAAGGGGGUUACGACCCGGCGACAUACCAGUGAGUGGGCAUUGCUUUCUAUAUAUAUACUUAUAUACUCGAUUUCCCCAGAAAUCAAAUUUAAAUGAAAAAUAUAUUGAAAUGAAAUGAAAUAUGAUGUGAUUGCCAUGCAUAGAAUGUUAUGGAUAUUAUGAACUGUCGUAUGAUGCAUAUAUGUAUGAUGGUGCUGUGGACGCACAGGUAAGUAUUUAAUUACUGUUAUGUUGAGGAUGAUGAUAUAUUGAGCUCAUAUCCUGCACCAUGGUUUAGUGCUUAUAGUAUUCACCGCAUCGCAACGCUCGCCUUGGAUCCAAGUAGAUGCUGGUCGUACAGUCCACGCGGAGUGGGUACGACGGGCCAGUCGUAGAAUGUUUAGUGAGAUUAUGACUGGUGGGUGACCUUAGGUUAUUGUAUACAGAUGAUUGAUGAGAGAAGCACUUGAGCGAAUAUUACCAUGAGUCGUUCAGACUGCAUUAGGUGGUUCCGACUUAUGUGCAGAAGGCCGGACAGGUCACGCGGAGUGACUCCGGCAGAGAGUGAGAUUGAUAGAUGUUGAGCUCUAGGUUCAAUCGUUCAGGACUAUUAGAGGGCCUCCGAUUGAUUAUUUCUUUUACCUGAUUUAUAUUAUGUCAAUGCAUUCAUACUAAACUGCUGAAUUUGGCAUGGUACAUUCUUUAUUGAAUCUGCUAUAAGAUUGUUGAUCGAGACAGUUGAGAUAUAUAUGCUAUAUACUAUUUUUCUGGGAAAGUAUACAGGUUUUCCAAAAAGGGGUUAUAAAUGUGGAUUUAUGAAAUGUUUUGGAAAAGCUUUAUUUUUCGCCCACUCACGUUUUCUGUUUUUCGCCCCUCCAGGUUCUAGUUGAUAGUUGAGGCGUUGGUGGCCUACGAGGACUGCUUCGGCGUUCUGACAGACUAAAUAAAUGUAGGAUUCACCCGAGGGUGUUGUAAAAUAGUUAUGGUCCUACUUGACUGCACCUAGACGCUUAUGCUCUGUUUAUGUGUGUUUAGUACACUCUUAUGCACAUAGAAUGCUAGGUUGUAAAUAACUGCAAUUAGUGGUUUUCGUUGACUCGUAUUUUAUUAUUAAAUCGUUUCCGCUUGCGUUAUGGUUACGUCACACUCACGUGACGGGCAGCACGUCCUAGUCUUCGGGUUAGGGUGUGUCAUAGUGACUAAAAAUUAUAUGACUUAAAAAUACUGGAACACUAUUAUAUUCUAUAGAAAAAGAUAUAAACUUGAUGUGAAAACAUCAGACUAACUUGACAUACUUAUUUUAGUCACAUUUGCACCGCUUCUCAACUCAUAUAUUUUGUUUACUAAAUAAUGUGAGUGUUUGUUCUUAUCCAACGUCUUUAAAUUUAUUUUAGAAGAAAUUUGUAAUUGAAGUGGUUAAGAGUAUUUACUUGUAAACCUAUUUGUUUCUCCCAUUGCAACAAAUAUUGGGAGGAGAAAAUCAAACGCAUAACCUCUAAACUACUUUUAGUACAAUACUCUUUUCAUUAUUUUAAAUUUGCUACUCCUGAGAGUGUAGUUUAGUUUUUCUAAGCAUACCUUCAUAGGCACUGCAGAAGUCAAGAGUCAAGGAACUAGACCUUUGUAAGUUCAAAGGUCUCAUCAAAACCUCAAUCCAUCAUGCCAAAAUGACGAGAUUUUGCCCUAUCAUCAGGAACAUAUCCCCGUACGAGUGUCUCACUCAUCAUGUGACCUUAUAAUAUAUUAACAUGUCUGUAUAUUUCCAGUGAACCUAAAAGAGCGAUAGCAAACCAGAUGUAAGCUAAUACUUUUUUUUGAAGAACUUGAUUAGCAACUGUAUUGGUCAUCAAUACCAUGUUCUAAAUCAAUUAGCAAAGCCUACUCAAUAAAGAAAAUAGAUUGCUAAGAAUUUACAUUUGAAACUAAUAGUGCAGUUUCCUGAAUGGAUGGGAAAUCAAGCCUCAUCACCAUCGCUUCCGCCAAUCUGAGCUUCGAGAGCGAUUGAGUAGUUGCUUCCAUCAGGACCGAGAAUCUGGAAUCUGCUCAAGAACACAGAAAAUCACUCUAAAAGCUUUUAAUUCAGCAACCACAGACGUCGAUUUGGUUUUACCUCUCAAGGAUACACUUUCCUUCCUUGUACUUCUGGGAUUUCUCAUGCGCCGCCUCCUGAAAUCGAUGACCAAAAUAAAACUCUCAUUCAGCUGUCACUUUGAUGCAAGUACUGCAAAUACCGAAAACAAAUAAAGCAUCGUUUUGAAGAAAAGAUAUCCUUACAUAUUUCCAUCCCACAUUUGAUCCACACGAAACACAAAAUAUGUCAGCAACGGUAUGCAAUCCUGUUAUCAUGAUCCGCUCUUCUUUCUCUCCAAGUGUGACAUUUACGCUGCCAUACAUUGGGGAAACGAAGGGUUAACUCAGCAUUCAUAUGUGUAAGCUGCACUUGAUGCAGUUAUGAAUAAGCCUUCUUCAUAGGAUUCAAGUGAACGAAAAUGCGUUUAUGAGACAAAUGCAUUAAUUAGUGAAUUUUGGGAGAACAAUACUCCAAAAUAGAUUUGCUAUGCUGUCACUGAUUUCAUUAAUUCUAUUUCUUUUGCCAUCCUCAAAGUUAAGCUUUUCAAAAUUCAUCAACCGGAAUGAAUCCUCUGGCCUAUAUCAGACCGUGUUCGGUUUGGUGCUUCAAGUCAUUUCAUAUCGGUGGACAAGAAACGAUACAUGCACAUAGGAUGGCCAAGUUUUUUGUGGCAAGUGAGACCAAUAUAAACUCACAUGCUCGUAACCCUAAAACUGAUAUACAAGCAUCCAUAGCUAUGACUGAAUCUAUUCAAAUUUUCAACCGUAAAAUAGUAUUACACUUACACUUUAUCGAAAAGAUAAGCCUUCCCAUGCCUGGAGUGAAAAGACUGGAACAAAAACAGAAGCAAAUCAAGGGGUUAGAAUGUCACUUAUCAAUCCUAAAUUCCUGAUAUCAAACAUACACCAUACUGUAUCGCUUUAGUUUCCAUAUGAUCAGCGUUCAAACCAACAGUAACACAAAUAACCAGGACAACAUUUUGGUCUCGAAUUAUAGUAGAGAACAGAGACGCAAGUUCCUAUCUAAUCUUCCAGCCAAAAUUUAACAAUUACACCAGGAAAGUGUAAAAUAGAUACCUUGGACGUAAUCUUAGCAGGAAUUGAAGACCUAAUUCUUCUCCAGCAAGUAAAGCAACAAUCUGUGUUCCUAGAAUUGCAUAAUUAAACCCGGAAUAUCAUCAUAGAGGGUUGCAGAUAAAGGUUCAAAAUCUUGAGCAUUUUGCGUAUCCGUUCAUCAAACGCGCAAGCCAUGAAGCCAAAGCUGAUUGUGAUGAGCCAUAAACAGAAUUAGGAAACGAAGGCCUGCACCAUGAAUAAAAGAAGGAACCCAGAAACAACCCAAUGUUUGAGCUUCCAAUCUCAACCAGUCUGAACAUGAACCAUCACAUUGUGCUACGGUAUAAAGGUAUCACAACUCCUCAAUAUCACAAACAAAACUCUCUAAACAAAACCUAAACCAACAAUUUACGUAUCACAACUCCUCAAUAUCUAAUGAUUAGACCCCCUAUCUAUCACUUAUUGGAAUUUAGCUUAACAAACCCACACAAACUAAAUUCUUACGUCCACCACCGAUAAAUCUCUCAUCGAAAAUUCGCCACACAUUUACAUAUCACAACGAUGCAUCAUAAUUUCACAGAGUUCUUGAAUGUCCAGGUAGCGUGCAUUAUGCAAAUAAACAGUAAAAAUUCAUAACAAACAGAAUUACGGGGAAGGCGAUUUCGGACCUUAGAGAUUACGUCGUCGACAAGAGCGAGAUGGGUUCUGCAGUGCUUGCAGCUAUACAUGUUUUCCUCAAGAGUGAUCACAAACAGCCUUCCCAUUUCUCACAUACAAUUAAACUUUCUUAAUUCUUGAUUUUCUUUUCCCUACAAAAACACAAAGAUCGGCCGCCAUGUUAGAAAUUCAAGCAUUCCAAAAGAAACCCAGAGAUUACCUUCACCAAAACUUGAGAAAAAUCAACGUGAUAAAACCUGAAAAUUCCAAGAAAAAAAUAACGAAAAAAAAUGAAAUGAUACACAAUGCAGGAGUGCAUUUCCCAUAAUGUAGAUUUUAGAGAAAAGAUUAAUACCAAAAAAAAUCUCUUGUGUUGUGGUACAUUGUAUGUCUUUAUCACGCAAAUCUUAUUUUCACGAGUUUUGCGUAAUGUACUUAUUUUCGUCGCGGAAGCUGUUAAAUGCAGUAGUGGUAGUCUUUGAUUCCUCAUUAGGGUAAGCAAAAUGAAUGGAAAAGUUAGUAUCCUUCUUUGAAUUUGAUAUGCUACAUCUAGCGACCGUUAAUUAAUAAUCUUUGCAUCACUAUCGAAUUUGAUAUGCUACAUCUAGAGACUGUUAAUUAAUAAUCUUUGCAUCACUAUCGAAUGAUGUUCUUAAUUCCCAACAUAACAACUUAAACGUUAAAUUAUUUAAGAAGAUUUUUUUUUUAAUUUCUCUAAGGCCUAAACAGAUAAAUGUUUUUUGUGGUGAUAUAGUAUUCCGAAGUUAGGCCUGUUGAGAAAAAAAUUAGGAAUCAAACCCUCAUGGUGAAGUCUGUUAGGAUUCAUGCCCCAACAGACUUUACUACAAGAGUUUAAUUCCUAAAUUUUUCAAACCGGAGGCUAUCUUCCGAAUACCUUAUCAAUUAUCAUCACAGAGACCGUUUAUUCCGUUAAGCCGUUCUUUAAUUGUAUGAACCAACAACUCCCCAAAUUACAAGAAAUUGUAUUUUAAUAUUAUUUUUAUACGCGUGAUAUUUGACUCCGAACUGUAAAAAGAGGAGGGAAGAGAGAUUCAAACUCAACUAUUUUUUUUUUUUUAAAACAAACAAUAUUAGUUACACUAAAAAAAAGUAUGAACUUAAUCUCACAAUGAGUUAAGAAUAAUAUGGUUCAAAUUCGUCUUUGACAUGAUUCAAACUCAACUAUUAAAAGUGCAAUCUGCUCGAUAAUGUGACUACAUCCACAUGCAUUUCGUUAUAAUAUUUUACAAAUAAAUAAGUUUUGCACAGUUUAAAAAGCUUUCAGAAGAAAAAAAAAAAUCCCUCUACUAUUGUGGGAAAAAGAAAGAAAAGGAAGAAUCUCGCGGCCUAUUGUUCGGUUAAAAAAACUUGUCGCUAAUAGGAAAACGCCACGGUAGAAAGUAAGGACGCAUUAUUUGUGGUGGGGGGGGGGGGCGCCGUGCCACGAAACCGAAUGAGAUUCAGAUUUGGUUGGAGGACGGAAAGAAAGUAAUUCACCAAUCCCUUUCACGAGAAGGUGCCAAAGGACACACGAAAGAAACGUUUCACUCAUAGUGACUAGACCAAAGCAAAAAAGUCAAUCCAAUCCAACUAGGUUAUGUGUUCGACUGUAGUAUUACCUGACUAUUCACGUUGUGAUAAGAAAGACGAUCCAUGAUUGUUUUUAGAACCCAAUUGUCCCACAUCAUUUAGUAUAUCUUAAAGGCGUUUCAGAGCUUUUGCGUACCUUUCCCUUCCAAGCCGAUUUUUAGGGGCAAUUUCUACUCUUAAAACAUUGUAUUAGAGCUUGGUUUCACCACGCAAUCGAGCGCAACUCCAUAGAAGGAAAUGAUAAAUUUUUUCAGUGUGUCUGGAACAUGUGGUGAAACACCACAUGUCAUUACAUAAGUGAAGGAAGGUUUUAUUUUUCAAGAAUCCCACUACUUUUAUAAUAACAUGUGGUGUAUCAUCCCGUAUUACGAGUACGUGAAAAAUUUGUAGAUGGGACCGCCUCAAAGGAAGGAAAGGGCUCCUCUAGGUCAGUGUAGAAAGCAAAACUUCACCAAACCUCUAAGGACGCGUUUACUAAUCCGUAAUCAAAUUGAGAGGAAUUGAAUUGAGGAGGAAUAGAAAUGAGGGAAAAUCAGAAUCAAAUUCCUUUUGAAGUUGUUUACUAAAACUGUUUGGAAUCGGAGUAGAAAUAACAUUGAUCUAUAUAACUGUUUACUAAUUCACAUGAAUCGGAAUGAAAACUAUUGUGAUUACUAAAAUACCCCUAGUUUAAUUAAUAAAUGAAAAAUAAAUGAAGUUUUUAUUGAAUAAAAAAUUGGAUGCGAUCCCCUAUAGAUGGUUUCACAAAACACAUAUUCUUAUUAACUUGAUGACCAGCGGACAAGGUUUAGCACAAGACAUUAACUAGGUAGAGAACCAAACAAGAGCUAAGACAAAGAACAUUGAUGAGCUGAUGGCUAAACCUCGAGGAGGGCCGGAAGUUGAAACGGGCACCAUUUGAUCUUCCUUGAUUAAUAACACUCCAAUGAAAGCGUGCCUCCGUGACGUGUGGUCAAAAUAUAAAGGGUCCAGAAGGAAAAGUAUACGUUCUCCCGUUCAAAAGAGGGGAUGCACGAGUAAUGUCCAACUAUGAAGAUGAAAUCGUGCCGUGCGGUGUUAUUCUCUCAACAGCACCCAUUCUCUGAGGAGGCCACAAAAUGUGGGUAACCCUUCCUUCAACUAAACCAAGAGGAAUCUGCCAACAACAGCUUGUUUAAGUUAGCCAAAGAAACAGAAGUUUAGAAGGAAGCCAAAAGUAGCCACAUUUUCAAAUUAUUUUGCACAACAUCAAUUCUGAUGAGGACAACUGAACUGAAAGCAACAUCUGAAACAAUGUCUUAGAAUACAUCAAGCAUUAUAUUCUAUCAAAGUUUUGCAAUGACAACAAAAUCAUCUAGCAGAAAUUUAGAAGGAUGCCAAAAGUAGCCACAUUUUCAAAUUAUUUUGCACAAUAUCAAUUCUGAUGCAGACAACUGAACCGAACAAAGCAUGUUCAUAAGCAAUGUCCGAAACAAAGUCUUAGAUUACGUCAAGCAUUAGAUUCUAUCAAUGUUUUCCAACGACAACAAAAUUACCUAGCAUAACAAUGAUUGCAAACUUUUUCCAAAAUGCCAAACUAAUUAUCUAUAUAGCAUUUCAAAUUUAUCGUGUCCUAGAAAAACAUUUUGUCUCAUUUACGAGCCACAAGCUAACGGAAUAGAAAAACGAUUUCCAUCCUACUCCGCAUUCAACUUUUCAGAAUAUAAACAAACAAUAAGUGAUUUGCCAUAAAAAAUACAAAAGUAAAUUCAAAUACCUAGUCAGCUUAUUGUUUCGUAUCUUUGGGCACCAAAUCAAUAUAAUUAAGGCCACGAUGAUAAAUUAUACUAUCGUUAAACUAUUUAUUUCUCUGGUGUACAAACUUAGCAGUAAGGUAGACUUACUGGUCCAAACGAUCUUGAAUCCAGGCUAGAAGAUGAAUUGUCUCCCUCAACCCAACAAUGUCCUUCUGUAAUUUUCACCACACAUAGGAAUGACGCGUUCCAAUCCACUCACCAGGUAAGGCAGUUAUUCUCUUUAUGUGACUCUCCUUGUGGUUACUUGGGGAGCUGCAGAAUGUUCCAUCAGGUUUCUUAUUAUAAUUCACUAGGCACAAAUAGUACUCGAGUGUUGUUAAGGGAAAAAAUUACCGGAAAACUACCACGUCACCAUGCGAGAACUUGUAGUUUUGAAGACAUUGUUUCUCGACCAAAACAUUGUCAUCUGCAACCGAAUCACAAUCAGACCACUAAACAAACCAUCACAUUGCACAACACAAAAAUCUUAGUGAGACGUCAUUCAAUAUACCAACUAGUUGGCAAGCCCAUCAAAGAAGUCGCUCCAUGGUUUAACGUAGGCGACAUAGAGGAACCCCGCACCAGAGCAACACUCGCAAAUCGAUCCGAAACAUAUACACCUAUAAUCCCAGAUGUGAAAAACUUGUUGGCAAAAUUCCACAAACCACUCCGAGUUCCCAUGUCCUGUUUUUUUUCCCUAAAUACUCACAUUUCAUGUGCAAAAUGCAGCCAUCUGUAACAAUUAUCAUCAAUUUUACCGAAAAUAAAAUCAAAUCAAAUGCGCAAUUUCGAUAAAGUAAGAAGAUUUAUAUAAGCAAAAACAGUAACCAAUCUCUCAGAGGCAAACAAUCAAACACCUGGUGAGCUUAAUGGACAAGAGGGAAAGAGAGUAGGUUACCAUUUGGGAAUAUUUCGGAUUAGCUGUCGAAGAAGCUUCCUUCACCGACGGGAGUCUUCGUUAAUGGAGGUAAGGCGGGAGGAGGUAGGUCGUGUACCGCCGUCGCGGAGUCGUGAUUUGGAGGAGAAGCAAAGUCUGGAUUAUAUUUCGGCUUUGGAGCUAUAUCUCAGAUGCUUUUUGCUCAAGGAAUUUGAAUUGGGUGACAAGCAUUAAUAAAAAAAUAAAUAAAUAAAUAAAUGUAUAAAUAGGAUCACCUAUAUAAAUUUUACUAAUUUGGACCCCUACAAGUUGCUUAAAGAGUAAUCAAAGCCCACCACUCCCAUCAGAGUUGAAAAUCUAACGAAAAUGACAUUUUUAUUCUAAAUGUCAAUUUUGAUACUAUUUACUUACAACAUUCUUUUGCCUUUUUUUUAAUUAAAAUUCAAAGUUUUCAAACCAUUUUCAUUUUUUUUUUCUUUUGAUUUAUUUAUUUUUAUUACAAAAGGACAAGUUAAAUUAUUCUAAUUCAUAUGGAGUGAGAUUAUUAUUUGAUAUAUUCUCGAACUUGAGUGAAAAGGGUAGACACGCUAUUAUAACUAAUUGGUUUAACCUGAAUAUGCUGUGUAUGUUUUUUCUUUGAUUAAAUCCGUAAUUUUUCACUUAGAUAAGUGUAAUUUGAUUUUAUUUACCCAUAAAAAAAAAUAAAUAAAUCUUAUAAUCGAUCAAUUUGUUAAAUGAAAAUUUUCUUAACUAUGGGCCAUACAAUUAUGUUUUAUUUUCAAUCAAGUCCUAAAGUGUGGUUUCAUUUGCGAUAAGUUAUAUGCCUUAAUAUUCACUUAAUAUUAAAUUUUAGUGACAUUAUUUUUCCUUGCAAGUAAUAAGUUAAGUUUAAACGCUCUUGAAUAACGAGUUCAAUACCUAUUUAUUUAUUUAUUUAUACUAUCGUAACAAAAACUCGUUACACUAUUCUCUCUCACUACUUAAGUUACCCAAAUUUUUAACUUGAGAUAAAUUGUUGGGAAAUUUUAUUUGAACCCAUCUAACUUCUUUGUACACCCAACUUACUCUCUUCACCCAUAUUGUUUUUUAUUAAAGAAUUAAUAUCUCUUUAAACUGUAGGUAUUUAUUCUUGUAUCUCCAUGCUACUUGAAUGCAUCUUUCUGCAAGGCCUCUCCAGUAAGGUGACUCAUACCUGCCAUAAAAACCAAACUUCAACAUCAAUGUUCUGUCAUAAACCAUUCCCACAUGCAUCCUAGACGAUUUCUUGCAGACCACGUAUGCAUAUGUCACCAGUCUUCAAUCGUGUAUGCAUACAUGAGAUAUGAAUAGCUUGAAUAAAAUAAACCUUAUGGCUCCUGGAACACGUGGUUUGCGCAAGAAUCUGGAGAAAACAUUGGUGACUUCUUCAAUGUCAGCUGCAGCAAUCAAUAGAAGAGACCUACAUAGGUGGACUACUUUCCAUAGAGCUUGUUUCAAAGGGAAGAUAAAAGUCAUUCGAACGCUGCUUGAAAAGGGUUUGGAUAUGGAUGCUAAAGAUGAGGAUGGACACACCGCGUUGCACUGUGCAGCGGAGUCGGGUCAUGCGGAUGUGAUUGAGAUGUUUAUAAAGAAAAGAGUUGAUGCUGAAGCUCGAACUAACAAAGGUGUGACUGCACUGCAUAUUGCUGAGUCUUUGCACUACGUUGGGAUUACUAGGAUACUUAUUCAUAGAGAUGCAACAAAAAAACAAUAGUAAUAUGGCACAUAUGUUGACCCAGGCCUCAGUUUCAUUUGGGAAAAAAUCUAUGGGACUAGAGGAGGAGAUCAUCAAAGGAGGAAUGAAGAAGGAGAAAUCGAGUCAAGCUAGAGCUCUUCGUGUGAGCUUUGAUGGUUCGAUGCCAUUGGUUGUUGUUUAGCUAGUAAAGUUAGAACUAAUAUUGGUGCAUUGGUAUUUUGAUAAACGUAGUAUAAAUUAGAGGAUUCAAAACUUCAAAAUCAUUAUCCAUCAAUAAAAAAACUUGUUUUUCUCUAUGAGAGCUAUUAGGGUUUUAGCCGUAAUGAGCGUAUGAUAAAUAAAGAGUGAUCCUAGGGUUUAAUUAUAGUGUUUGGGUUUAUUGAUAAAUUUGAGUUUUAUUAUUAAUUUUAUUUUGUACUUAAUAGUAAUUAUGCAAUAGGGUAAAAUAGGCAAUUAACAUUUAAAAUUUAGGGGGGGUGUAUUCAAUUGGGAAUUUGAGAGAUUUUAAUGGAUUUAUAAAUCCAUGAAUUUUUAUGGAGUCUAAUUGAUUUGUAGAGAUUCCAUAUAAAAUUUUAAUUCAAUUCCCUCCAAAUCUCUUGGGGAGAGAUAAGAUUUGUGGAUGAUUAAAAUACACUACAAAAUCUCUCUAAUUCCCUCUAAUUCCCCAACUUUGUCAAAUUCUUUAAAAUCAAAUUCUAAUUGGAUACACCUAGAAUGUUAUAAACUUCUUUAAAAUCUUAAUGGAAUACACCCGGAUUUCUAAGGAUUUUAAUAAACUAUCUUAAAAUCCUAAUUGAAUACGCGUUGAAUUUCAGAUAAUCACUUAAAAUCCUGAUUGAAUACCCCUAGAUUCAUUAAAAGAAUUAAAAUCCCUCAAAAUCCCAAUUGAAUACACCUCCUAAGAUGAGUGUAAAAAAAUAUUACAUAAGUUUAAAUAAAAUUUCCCUUUGACGUCCAAAGCAAGUAUCAUAAAAUAUCAACCAUGUAGUCAUUUAUCAGGUAGGAAAAGCUCACAUGGCAUUGCGUACACUAAUCCUUUGAUCACAUCACAAUCUUUACAAACUUAAGCAUCACAAAUCAUGAUCAGCUAAGUAAUUAACGUUACAUAAUUAACCAUUGUCCACUAAUUAAAAAAACCAAACAUGAUAUGCACGUAGAGAAUGGGCGGUCUAAGAAGAGAAGGCGUCGAUGAUGGUAGUGUGGAGCGGGUCACUCAAAUGGGUAGCCCAGUUGUUAAGCGGGCCCUUUCCGGUCACGGCGGCCUGCACGGCGAACCCGAGGAACCCAACCAUGGCGAGGCGGGCGUGCUUGAUUUCAGCCAGUUGAAG
rnacentral:lncRNA from 1 species